GAUGAACGCUGGCGGCGUGCCUAAUACAUGCAAGUCGAGCGAACAGACGAGGAGCUUGCUCCUUUGACGUUAGCGGCGGACGGGUGAGUAACACGUGGGUAACCUACCUAUAAGACUGGGAUAACUUCGGGAAACCGGAGCUAAUACCGGAUAAUAUUUCGAACCGCAUGGUUCGAUAGUGAAAGAUGGCUUUGCUAUCACUUAUAGAUGGACCUGCGCCGUAUUAGCUAGUUGGUAAGGUAACGGCUUACCAAGGCAACGAUACGUAGCCGACCUGAGAGGGUGAUCGGCCACACUGGAACUGAGACACGGUCCAGACUCCUACGGGAGGCAGCAGUAGGGAAUCUUCCGCAAUGGGCGAAAGCCUGACGGAGCAACGCCGCGUGAGUGAUGAAGGUCUUCGGAUCGUAAAACUCUGUUAUUAGGGAAGAACAAACGUGUAAGUAACUGUGCACGUCUUGACGGUACCUAAUCAGAAAGCCACGGCUAACUACGUGCCAGCAGCCGCGGUAAUACGUAGGUGGCAAGCGUUAUCCGGAAUUAUUGGGCGUGAAGCGCGCGUAGGCGGUUUUUUAGUCUGAUGUGAAAGCCCACGGCUCAACCGUGGAGGGUCAUUGGAAACUGGAAAACUUGAGUGCAGAAGAGGAAAGUGGAAUUCCAUGUGUAGCGGUGAAAUGCGCAGAGAUAUGGAGGAACACCAGUGGCGAAGGCGACUUUCUGGUCUGUAACUGACGCUGAUGUGCGAAAGCGUGGGGAUCAAACAGGAUUAGAUACCCUGGUAGUCCACGCCGUAAACGAUAAGUGCUAAGUGUUAGGGGGUUUCCGCCCCUUAGUGCUGCAGCUAACGCAUUAAGCACUCCGCCUGGGGAGUACGACCGCAAGGUUGAAACUCAAAGGAAUUGACGGGGACCCGCACAAGCGGUGGAGCAUGUGGUUUAAUUCGAAGCAACGCGAAGAACCUUACCAAAUCUUGACAUCCUUUGACCCUUCUAGAGAUAGAAGUUUCCCCUUCGGGGGACAAAGUGACAGGUGGUGCAUGGUUGUCGUCAGCUCGUGUCGUGAGAUGUUGGGUCAAGUCCCGCAACGAGCGCAACCCUUAAGCUUAGUUGCCAUCAUUAAGUUGGGCACUCUAAGUUGACUGCCGGUGACAAACCGGAGGAAGGUGGGGAUGACGUCAAAUCAUCAUGCCCCAUAUGAUUUGGGCUACACACGUGCUACAAUGGACAAUACAAAGGGCAGCGAAACCGCGAGGUCAAGCAAAUCCCAUAAAGUUGUUCUCAGUUCGGAUUGUAGUCUGCAACUCGACUACAUGAAGCUGGAAUCGCUAGUAAUCGUAGAUCAGCAUGCUACGGUGAAUACGUUCCCGGGUCU
rnacentral:rRNA from 1 species